rnacentral:rRNA from 1 species
AACGAACGCUGGCGGCAUGCCUAACACAUGCAAGUCGAACGAAGGCUUCGGCCUUAGUGGCGCACGGGUGCGUAACGCGUGGGAAUCUGCCCUUUGGUUCGGAAUAACAGCUGGAAACGGCUGCUAAUACCGGAUGAUGACGAAAGUCCAAAGAUUUAUCGCCAGAGGAUGAGCCCGCGUUGGAUUAGGUAGUUGGUGGGGUAAAGGCCUACCAAGCCGACGAUCCAUAGCUGGUCUGAGAGGAUGAUCAGCCACACUGGGACUGAGACACGGCCCAGACUCCUACGGGAGGCAGCAGUGGGGAAUAUUGGACAAUGGGCGCAAGCCUGAUACAGCAAUGCCGCGUGAGUGAUGAAGGCCCUAGGGUUGUAAAGCUCUUUUACCCGGGAAGAUAAUGACUGUACCGGGAGAAUAAGCCCCGGCUAACUCCGUG